GGGUCUAGCUCAGUGGUAGAGCACAUGCUUAGUAUGCGUGAGAUUCUGGGUUCAAUCCCCAGUACCUCCA
rnacentral:tRNA from 1 species